rnacentral:rRNA from 1 species
CCCUUAGAUGUUCUGGGCCGCACACGCGCUACACUGAAGGAGGCAGCGUGUACUCCUGGAUCGAAAGAUUUGGGUAACCCGCGAAUUUCCUUCGUGCUAGGGAUUGAGGUUUGCAAUUAUCCUUCAUGAACGAGGAAUUCCCAGUAAGUGCAAGUCAUAAGCUUGCGCUGACUACGUCCCUGCCCUUUGUACACACCGCCCGUCGCUACUACCGAUUGAAUGAUUUAGUGAGGACUUCGGACUGGGACCGAUGCGGCUUUCGGGCUGCGUCGGUAUUCUGGAAAGAUGUCCAAACUGUAUCAUUUAGAGGAAGUAAAAGUCGUAACA